UACGGAGGGGGCUAGCGUUUUUCGGAAUUACUGGGCGUAAAGCGCACGUAGGCGGAUUGUUAAGUCGGGGGUGAAAUCCCGGGGCUCAACCCCGGAAUGGCCUCCGAUACUGGCAAUCUUGAGGUCGGGAGAGGUGAGUGGAAUGGCGAGUGUAGAGGUGAAAUUCGUAGAUAUUCGCCGGAACACCAGUGGCGAAGGCGGCUUACUGGGCUUGAACUGACGCUGAGGUACGAAAGCGUGGGGAGCGAACAGG
rnacentral:rRNA from 1 species